rnacentral:rRNA from 1 species
GAAGUUUUCGGAUGGAAUCUUGAUUGACUGAGUGGCGGACGGGUGAGUAACGCGUGGAUAACCUGCCUCACACUGGGGGAUAACAGUUAGAAAUGACUGCUAAUACCGCAUAAGCGCACAGUGCCGCAUGGCAGUGUGUGAAAAACUCCGGUGGUGUGAGAUGGAUCCGCGUCUGAUUAGCCAGUUGGCGGGGUAACGGCUCACCAAGGCGACGAUCAGUAGCCGGCUUGAGAGAGUGAACGGCCACAUUGGGACUGAGACACGGCCCAAACUCCUACGGGAGGCAGCAGUGGGGAAUAUUGCACAAUGGGGGAAACCCUGAUGCAGCGACGCCGCGUGAGUGAAGAAGUAUCUCGGUAUGUAAAGCUCUAUCAGCAGGGAAGAAAAUGACGGUACCUGACUAAGAAGCCCCGGCUAACUACGUGCCAGCAGCCGCGGUAAUACGUAGGGGGCAAGCGUUAUCCGGAAUUACUGGGUGUAAAGGGUGCGUAGGUGGUAUGGCAAGUCAGAAGUGAAAACCCAGGGCUUAACUCUGGGACUGCUUUUGAAACUGUCAGACUGGAGUGCAGGAGAGGUAAGCGGAAUUCCUAGUGUAGCGGUGAAAUGCGUAGAUAUUAGGAGGAACA